rnacentral:rRNA from 1 species
GUGUCAGCAGCCGCGGUAAGACGUAGGGGGCCAGCGUUGCUCGGAAUUACUGGGCGUAAAGGGUUCGUAGGCGGUGCGGUAAGUCGAGAGUAAAAUCUCCAGGCUCAACUUGGAGGCGCCUCCCGAAACUGCCGUGCUCGAGUGCUGGAGAGGCGAGUGGAAUUGCAGGUGUAGCGGUGAAAUGCGUAGAUAUCUGCAGGAACACCAGUGGCGAAGGCGGCUCGCUGGACAGCAACUGACGCUGAGGAACGAAAGCUAGGGGAGCAAACAGGAUUAGAUACCCUUGUAGUCC